AGUAUGUCUUCAUUUGCAGCAAGAAACGUUCAUAAUGACACUAAAGAAAAUUCUUGACGUAAUGGGGAUCCAGUGCCAUGACAGUAAGACCAACCCUUUCUGCGAAGAGUGGAAGGGAUUAACAGAAUGUUUUGUGACGGUUAUAGAUGAAUACUCUGGUAAAGAAAUGUGUGGAAUUGAAGUUGAUGCCAGAAGAAAAUCCGAACAAGAUGGUUUCCCUGGGAAGCCAUUUAAAUGAUCAUAUUUGAGAUAUAAAUUCUCAGAACUGUAAAAAAUUCUAAUUAAAUAAACUUGAUAAACAUUAAAAUUUA